UACGUAGGGUGCGAGCGUUGUCCGGAAUUAUUGGGCGUAAAGGGCUCGUAGGCGGUCUGUUGCGUCAGGAGUGAAAACUCGGGGCUUAACCCCCGAGCCUGCUUCUGAUACGGGCAGACUAGAGGUAUGCAGGGGAGAACGGAAUUCCUGGUGUAGCGGUGAAAUGCGCAGAUAUCAGGAGGAACACCGGUGGCGAAGGCGGGUCUCUGGGCCGAAACUGACGCUGAGGCACGAAAGCGUGGGGAGCAAACAGG
rnacentral:rRNA from 1 species